UAGUCCUCAAAUUGUUCUUUCUUCUUCGACGAUUCUUCUGACUUCACUUGGGAUUUUCGAGUUCUUUGUUAUUGUCGUUGCUGGCCGUUCGCGUCGCAAUUGCUUGGAUUCGCACUGACUACUUCGCUGUUCACGUCUUGUCUUCUCCCUUCUCUGUUCCUCAGUCAUCUUCCAAAGUGAAAAUGUUUGAUAUACAAUAUUCAACUUGGUCAACUUUGAAGACUUCUAGCAAUGCUCCACUAUGUAUUCCUUAUUCUUUUAUAGUUAUUAUCCUAUAAAAGCUUCAAUUUGGAUCAAAUUCUAGUUGAUACUUAAAUUGGAUUAUCACUUCUAGGUAAUUUUACUUCUUUCUUUAAAACUUAUUACAUGAUUAUCACCGUUGGAUUUUAUAUUAUCAUUAGGUUUCAUUGAUACUGUUGUAUUAUAUUUAGCAUUACUACUUUACUUGCAUAGUGUGUGAGGAUUCCUUUUACCUGAUCUUGUGUAACUGCAUGAUUGGUGCCUAAUGUUAUUGUGCAAUAACUUCUCAUUAUAGGUAGCUUAUUCUUUGAUAUUGAUCGUUGUUUUUCAAGAGCGUAUAAAUUGUCAUUGUGGAAUUUCGCUCAAGACUUUGUUUUGGAUUGCAUCUUAAGAUAACCUAUUUGUACCUGGUCUAAUUGUCUUUUUUGCUGAAAUCUUUUUUCUUUGUUAGUUUUUGGAUUAGUUUUCUUUAACAAUAAUUAGCUCUCUGCUAUAACAUAAUUUCAAUUAUAAAAAUCUCAAGUUGUACGUGAAAGGUUGGGACUUUAAUUAGAUAGUUUCCUUUGUGUGCAGAAAAUAUGUGUACAAACACAAUAUUGAAUAUAUUCCUUAUUUUAAAUUAAGUGCUUCUAAACAUGUGGAGCUUUAUUCUUAGUCCCUAAACAGAGGCAAGUGUUGAAUUUCUAAUUUUAUUCUCUUUAAAUUGGAAUAUGAGUUUGAUAUCAAGGAUAGUGUCUGUAUUGGGGUAUAUAUAAAAAUAAAAUAGAAACAAUUAUUUUUUUUCCGUUCUCUUCUCAAACCAUGGAACCAAACCUUUUCCCCUUGUGUGUUUUGUAUGUCAUAGCUUUAUUCAUUUUAGUUGAGUUAUUUGAAUUUUUGUUGUGUUGUUUUGUUUUGUGUGAUUGAUGCAAAAAAAAAAAAGAUAGAAGAAUGACAUACUGAGAAUUUUGGAAGUGUGUGUGUUGAUACCGUUUUAUGAUAGUUCUCAUAAAAGUUGAAUAACGAGUUCAAGUUUUAAUAUGCAUGUUUUAAUUUUACUUAUUGUGUUCUAUUAAAGUUUUAUUAUUCUAAUGUAGUUAGAUGUUAUCUAUAAUUAAUUUUGAAUAUAUUUUUCGUAUUUUCUAUCUCAAAUUUGGAGUUGACUUAUUGGAUAUAAUAUAGGUUUGAAUUAGUUCUGAUGGCUUUAUUAUUAUCAUUGUAAAACUCAGUUAAAUAGUAAUUAAUAAAUUAAUAGUUAAUAAAUUAAAUUAUAAGUGAAGAAUACUUGGAAAUUUAAAAUUUAUAAUUUGGAAGGAUAAAAAUAUUUAGAACAUAAAUUAAAACGCUAAUCUUAAAAGUUUUGGCCUAGAAAUUGGCCAACGAGUUAAAACAAGUGAACUAGAUCUAUGUUGGGUCCAAACCCAAGGCUUAUAAGGCUUAGACUUGAACCAUUUCAGCAUCCUUCCCUUCUAAACACAUUUAGCAGAGAGAGAGAGAGAGAGAGCUAAGUUUUAUCACCAAUUUCAGUGAGUAAAGAUAAGAGAUACUUUUCCCAUGUGUUCAUUAAAUUUUAUGAAAUCCUAGUGAUUGAAUAUUGUGUAUAUUAUGUGAAAAUAGUAUAAAUUGAGUAUUAAAGGCAUUAAGUUUUGUCUUGCUUGCUCCCAGUUGGAAUGUUGAUCUUCCGUUAUAAGAUGCGGCUGGACACUUAGACCUUUCCGUUAUAUUUCGAUACGUGUGUGUUUCCGCUUGCAAUUUUCUUUAAUUCCUUUUCAGGCUUUUCGUUUAAUAAUUUCUUCUAAUUAUAUAUAUGUAUUACAACUCCAUCUUGAGUCAUACUACUUUAUUACCAUUGACUUAUAACUCGAGUAUAAGAAUAUGAAUGGUAGGAUGUUACAAUUAUCAUCAUCAUCAUCAUCAUCAUCAUCAAAGUUCAUCCUUAUAUUCAUUUUAGAGGCUUGCUGAAAUGCUAGAUUUUGAAAUUAAGUGAUGGGUUGCAGGAAAAGAAGGAAACUUGCGUGCUUUGCUCUCCACCUUAAAAUAUGUAUGUUCUUAUUGCACACAUUUUGAAUAAUGUGAUUUUUUUUGUUAGAUCCAUGUAAUGCCAAGAAGUAUAUAGUACUAUAGUCUUAAAUAACUUAUUUAUUUUUUCAUUUAGAAUUCU